UUUUUCUUCUCUUCUAAUCGGGUGCCACUCCUUCCCUCCUUCAGCCGACUCCUUCAUCUGUUGUUCUUCCCCGACCCACAACUCUCUCUCUCAACUCCUUCAUUUUCCAGCCGGCGACACAAGGCCGAAGCCUCAGCUCUCUCUAGAACCAACGGCACAGGAACCCAGAUCUGGUCGACUCUCGCUUUUUCCUAUUCCAGUCGGCGACAGAAGCCUGAAGUCCUAGCUCUCUCUAGAACCGGUGGCACAGGAACCCAGAUCUGGUCGGCUCUCGCUUCUUCCUUUUCCAGCCGACUACAGAAGCCCGAAGCCCCAGCUCUCUCUAGAACCGACGGCACAGCAACCCAGAUCUUGUCUUUCUCCCUUUUUCCUUUUCCAACCGACGACACAAGCUCGAAGGCCCAGCUCUCUCUAGAACCGACGGCACAACAACCCAGAUCUUCUCUCUCUCGCUUAUUCCUUUCGCCGGCGGCAAGCCCGAAGCCCCAACACUCUCUCUAAAAUCGACGACACAAACCCCAAACUCCCUAAACUCCCACCGACGGUUGGCAGCCCUUCACUCAAAGCUCUCUUUCUCCAUGUAUAUAUUUUUUUGAUUCUUUUUCUUUGGUAUUAUUUGGUAUUUUUUGGUUUGUGGAUUGAGGUUUCUGGCUGCUAGACUAAGGAAUUAAUUUUGGCUUUCUGUGUUUUUGAGUUGUUAGGGAUUCUUAGGAAUUUUUUUGAUUGAGUUUUUGGCCCCCGGAUCCCCUGUGUUACACUUGUACAAUAUUUUUGGAGUUGA
rnacentral:lncRNA from 1 species